UAAGACAGGGGUCUCGAGCGUUAAUCGGAAUCACUGGGCUUAAAGGGUGCGUAGGCGGGUCUGUAAGUGUCGUGUGAAAGCCCCCGGCUCAACCGGGGAACUGCAUGGCAAACUGCAGAUCUUGAGGAAGCUAGAGGCCGGUAGAACGAUUGGUGGAGCGGUGGAAUGCGUAGAUAUCAAUCGGAAUGCCUAAAGUGAAGACAGCCGGCUGGGGCUUUCCUGACGCUGAGGCACGAAAGCGUGGGGAGCAAACAGGAUUAGAUACCCUGGUAGUCCACGCCCUAAACGAUGCGCACUAGACUGGAGCAGCUCUGACGCUGUUCUGGUCGUAGAGAAAUUGCUAAGUGCGCCGCCUGGGGAGUACGGUCGCAAGGCUA
rnacentral:rRNA from 1 species